rnacentral:rRNA from 1 species
GAUGAACGCUGGCGGCGUGCCUAAUACAUGCAAGUCGAGCGAACGGACGAGAAGCUUGCUUCUCUGAUGUUAGCGGCGGACGGGUGAGUAACACGUGGAUAACCUACCUAUAAGACUGGGAUAACUCCGGGAAACCGGAGCUAAUACCGGAUGAUAUUUUGAACCGCAUGGUUCAAAAGUGAAAGACGGUCUUGCUGUCACUUAUAGAUGGAUCCGCGCUGCAUUAGCUAGUUGGUAAGGUAACGGCUUACCAAGGCAACGAUGCAUAGCCGACCUGAGAGGGUGAUCGGCCACACUGGAACUGAGACACGGUCCAGACUCCUACGGGAGGCAUCAGUAGGGAAUCUUCCGCAAUGGGCGAAAGCCUGACGGAGCAACGCCGCGUGAGUGAUGAAGGUCUUCGGAUCGUAAAACUCUGUUAUUAGGGAAGAACAUAUGUGUAAGUAACUGUGCACAUCUUGACGGUACCUAAUCAGAAAGCCACGGCUAACUACGUG